UCUUAGUUAGCAUAGUAAUAUGCUUUGCUAGGGCUACACGCCUAUUAAUUAUAUCUCUUUGAGAUAUUAAAUUCAAUUAAAACAUUAAGUAAGCAAUGCUGAAAUAUGAAUUAAUGGUGAUUUACUUUAAGUUAAAAGGCUACAUAAC
rnacentral:sRNA from 12 species